UACCUCAAUAAAGGGUGUUUCCUGAUAGA
rnacentral:piRNA from 1 species